AACGCACCUUGCGCUCUCUGGUAUUCCGGAGAGCAUGCCUGUUUGAGUGUCAUGAACUCUUCAACCCUUCCUUUUCCUUGUUGAAUCGGUGAGGUGUUUGGAUUUUGGUUGUUUUGCAAAUUUAUUUUUGCUCGACCGUAAUACAUUAGCUACUGUUAACAAUCUUGGAUUGACUCGGCGUAAUAAGACUAUUCGCUGAGGACUUGUCGAAAGGCAAGGCCAAGUAAUGACUUGAAGCUUCAAACCGUCUACUUUCUUGAUUUAGACCUCAAAUCAGACAGGAUUACCCGCUGAACUUAA
rnacentral:misc_RNA from 1 species